rnacentral:misc_RNA from 1 species
GCUGCUUCAUUUCCACCAUUUAGUAUUCCAGUUUCUUCUUGUACAAUUUCCAAUACAUUCUUUGCAUCUUCAUUGUUUUUAACAUCAAUCUCAUCGUCUCCUACACCUCCAUCUUUCUUCUUUCAAAUUCUUCUGGACCAUUUUUAUCUUGGGAUUCUUCCUUAGGUCCAUUUAGAUCCUUCACCAUCCCCUUGCGCCCCAAAACUAUGGUUAUGUUUCUUUCACUGGGAUUUUGAGGAUUCACAUUGUAACUCUCAUGUUGGUGGUGCGAGUUAUUGACUU